UACGUAGGGUGCGAGCGUUGUCCGGAAUUACUGGGCGUAAAGAGCUCGUAGGUGGUUUGUCGCGUCGGUCGUGAAAACCGGGGGCUUAACCCUCGGCGUGCGGGCGAUACGGGCAGACUUGAGUACUGCAGGGGAGACUGGAAUUCCUGGUGUAGCGGUGGAAUGCGCAGAUAUCAGGAGGAACACCGGUGGCGAAGGCGGGUCUCUGGGCAGUAACUGACGCUGAGGAGCGAAAGCGUGGGGAGCGAACAGG
rnacentral:rRNA from 1 species